AUUGAACGCUGGCGGCAGGCCUAACACAUGCAAGUCGAGCGGUUGAAGGUUGCUUUCCCCUGUAUUCAGCGGCGGACGGGUGAGUAAGGCCGAGGAAUCUGCCUGGGAGUGGGGGGUAACGUCCGGAAAUAGUCGCUAAUACCGCAUACGUCCUGAGGGAGAAAGUGGGGGAUCCUCGGACCUCACGCUAUCUGAUGAGCCUAGGUCGGAGUAGCUAGUUGGUGGGGUAAAGGCCUACCAAGGCGACGAUCCGUAACUGGUCUGAGAGGAUGAUCAGCCACACUGGAACUGAGACACGGCCCAGACUCCUACGGGAGGCAGCAGUGGGGAAUAUUGGACAAUGGGCGAAAGCCUGAUCCAGCCAUGCCGCGUGUGUGAAGAAGGUCUUCGGAUUGUAAAGCACUUUAAGUUGGGAAGAAAGGCAGUGGGUUAAUACCUCGCUGUGUUGACGUUACCAAAAGAAUAAGCACCGGCUAACUUCGUG
rnacentral:rRNA from 1 species